UCAAAUACAUCCAGAAAAAUUAUAGGAAGCGCUGUAUGUCAAGUGCCCAGCAAAUAGGAGCUCAAUAAGCAGUGGGCAAGGCUACUAAUAGCACUGCUAAAGUCACAGCUGGCCUGUUGUCCUUAAAGCCCCAGGGUAGCCCCCAAAGCCCCCUAAUCCCCAAGGGAGCUGACAACGUUUUAUUUACAUUUGUGGUUACCAAUGACUUGUAACAUUGUUUCCUUGGGGAAUUGCUCUGUAUUCUAAAUUCUCUGUGGAGACCCCGGAACUCCUCCCACCUCACCAAGGAAGAGGAGGAAAGUCUUCCAUGGUGGGAAGAAGGUCACAGGGUCAGGGGCGCAGAUACUCUUAAAUACCAGUUAGUGAAAACGGCACAUCAGUGUGAAAAGGCUUACUCCUUGGAAAACUGCUCCCGAGGAUUAUCUGCUAUGUGCCAAGAGAUGCCCUACUUAUUAGAUUGUAUCCUUUAAUCUCGACAACAGUUCUGGGCUUGACUGACUCCUUUUGCAGAUGGGACCCCUAAGGUUCAAGGAGGAAAAGUCUUGCUCUCAAGAUCACUUGGCUAGAGCCUGGGGGAGACCAGACUGGAAUUCAAGUCUGUUUGGCCCCAGAGCCUGUGAUCGUUCCUUAACUUUGCCACAAUGCCUUCAGGUGUCUGAAAAAUGAAGCCAGGUGUCUCGUCAUUUGCAAGUCAGAUAUCUUUAAGCUAGGAUGCCUCUCUGUGUCCCCUCCUGCAGUUAUCUGCCUAAAAGCAGCUCAACCAUGUGACACUGCCUUGAAAAUCCUUCUUGUUUUCACCCUGCAGGCAGAGCCGACAGCCCGCGGAGCAGGAAGCCUGAUUCCCAACCAGGCUCAUUGCUGUGUGUCUGUAAUUAAGGCCCUUGACAUCUCUGAACCUCAUUCUGCAGUUUCAGACAUCCAGGCCAGGCACCGGGCCUUCCCUCCUUCACAAGGCAGAGGGUACAAUGAGCUCACAUCCAGCGGCAUGCCCAGGGACUGGCAGAGAGCCAGCAUCCUACAAAUCCACAGGUAAAGACGGUUCCUGUUUCCACAACAGAGUCUCCACGCUGCCUCCCACUUUCAAACCAGAAACUCUCGAGUAGACAGAGAUGCCUUGUGAUCCAAUGAAGCCUGGCCCUGCCCAAAGAUCACCACUCUGCCCAUCCUAGGGGAUCCAGAAAUGCUUCUGAAUUUGUCCUCUGAGGACCUGGACCACGUCAAGAUUUGGAUGUUCAUUGGGAAGCUGUACUAGUCUGUUCUCACGUUGCUAAUAAAGACAUACCCAGGGCCAGGCAAGGUGGCUCACGC
rnacentral:lncRNA from 1 species